AUUUGAAUGAAUGAGUCAAUCAUAAUUAUCACCUAAUUAAUCGGUAUAUUUAACAUACACAUUGAUUGAUAAUAAUAGCCUGUGACAAUAGGAGUCCUUUGAUGUCCUUUACCCAUUUUUAAAAGUGGGCCGAGUUGACCCGUGCCGAGUUGGAAUAGGGCCGAGCUAACUCGGGGGCCGAGUGUGUUUUAGGGCCGAGCUGACCCGGAUUCGUAAAUAACCAUGUUAGGUCAACUUGAUUAAUGUUUUUUAAUUAAUAAAGUUUAUUUUAUCAAAAGUAUCAAGUUCAUUUUUGCAUAAAAAUGGGCGGUAUAGAUGGAUACCGAAAAUACCCUAAAAAAUGGGGCGUGAACCGUCUUGAGAAUGAAAUCUCUGUGUACCUGAAAUGAUUACACAUAGUUACUCCCCUUAUAUUUAUAAAUGAUCGUCAUUGACCCCUUCGAAAAAAUGUUGUUUUUACAAAUAUUGUUUCAAUAAAAUAUCAGCAAGGAAAAUUCAAGCUGACAAGAAAGACAGUAAAGACACAUUUAGUAAGAAAUUAUCAUUCAAAGAAGUUGUGUUAAAAGACAUCAAAUGAAAGUACAUGCUCAGAAGAAGAAUCAUAAAGGGCAAUAAAGACAGAUAUUAUCAAGAAGUGGUGGUCAAUGAAAUGAGAUGCUUAGCAAAUGUAAAAUAAAACAUAAGUUUACUAUUUGUAAUAAAACAUUAACUCAACAAAGUACUCUGAACACUCAUAUGACAAUAGACACUUGCGGGAAAAUUUUAAAAAAUGUGUGAGAGGACUCAUGAAUGUAAU